UGCGUUCAAGGGAGAAGUCAGCUUUUACCGACAUUGCACAAUUCAGGUUUUGUUACCAACAUGUAAAAUAUCUUGCUGAGAUUUCCGACAAGAAGAAAUACUAUAAUAUGAACGAGCUGUUGUGAACAAUGGUUGAAGAAAUUCGUCUUUAUUAUCACUUUAUUACUUGUCCAUUUUUACACAGAUAUGGCACUUGUUUAAAGGCUGAAAAAGCUAUUUUUUAUUUUUCAAAUGCUUUUUUUGGUGUCCUGUUGCAAUCUCUGAAAAGACAUAUUACACAUUAGUCAUGCAUAAAGUUAAGCCAUUUUGUUUUAGUGUUGUUUUGGCAAAUAAUUAGUUAUAGUACUUGGUAUUUUAUUUGAAAAUCAACAUGCAAUUUCGUUUACAUUUUCCUAACCUAUAUCUAAAAAUAUUUCACCUCUUUGAGCACUGUUUUCUUCAGGUGAUAUGCAUCUUAUAUGCUCUCAAUUCAAUUUUACAACAUAACAAUGCCUUUUUCUCUGAAAAGAAUACUCGUUGUUUUUUUUUGUUUUUUUUUAAUACAUGUAAGGACACGUUUAUAAAUAUGAUGAACAUUUUCAUUAAACAGUACUGUAAUGUUUUGAAAUAUUGUUAUAACGGGUUUUCUAACUGCUUAUUUGUUAUAUUAUCUAAAGUCGCUUAUAUUUGUAAUGUUCGAUGCAUUUAGCGAACAGUGUGCAUUUGUAUGCUUAAUAUAAACAUUUUGAUUUUAUUUUACUAGAUUCGGUCAUAUUAUUUUAUUAAUGAAAAGCAUGAUAUUAAUUUUCUUAUUGAAUAUUCAAAAGUAUAUAAUUCAAUGCAAUAAUAUAAGUCUGUCACAACAACCUUUAUAUCAACCAUGCGCAUUAAACAUAAAUAUAUGAAUAAUGUAAACAAAUUAUUUUAUAAUUGUUAUAAAUUAAAGUAUCAUUUUAGUGAUAUAUUAUAGAAAGAUAUGCCUUUAACAAAAUAUGAUAUGUGUAAAAUAUUAUUCUGUGUGCAUGUCUUUGCUUUAUGGCUUAUAUGAAUUAAUUAUUUAUUGUGCUAGUGUUUGCUUCUUUCCCUUAGUGUUAGUGUGUCCUUUUGAGGCUGAUCAACUAUGUUCUUUACAACUAGGGUUUAUACUCAUUAUAUCAUGAGCAGAAUCAAUAAACCGAGUCUAAAAAUGUCAACUGUUUCCUUUCUAUAACUUUCGAGUAAUCUUCCCUUUAAUAUAGCUUAACAUACUAUAAGCAUAAACUACAAUUUUAUAAAGCAUGUUUUCUUAACUAGUAGUUCAUAUUUGGAACGAAAUUUUAUGCUAUAGCCUUUCUAACCGUGUUUUACAGAUGCUUUUAGUUUAUUAGAUAUGAUAAAAAAUCAAAACUUGAGCCUUCAUUAACUCUUUUCAAAACAGUCAAAAAUAUUUGCACAGGUUUAUAAACUAAUUUAGCCUGUCCAACUCAAUAAUAGUCUUUUUAUACAUUUCUUCAUCUUCUUUUUGGUUAUCUUAUAUUCUUUCAAAUACAGGUUAACAUUAGAUCUUUUCAACAUGUAUAUACAAAGUACAGACAUUUCAAUUCAUAUCUAGACUGUAGUCCUUUUAUCAUUGUUUUUUAUCUUUAUAAACUAUGUUUGUAGACGAGAAUCUUUUAUAUAUAAGUUCAUAAACUAAAGCUUCUUCUGCAUGAGUUUUUCGCAGAUAUAGUUCUAUAGUUGAUUUCGAAUGUAAAGCUUUCUUUAUUCAACACAUACAUUGAAAUUUAAAAAUAAAAUGUAUUUUUACAUUCAGCCAGUGGUGUUCAAUAUAGGUUUUAAUAUCGUAUUCCUAUUGCUAACUUUGUUUAACAUUUACUUAUACAAUUUGUUGUUACAUUGUUGUCUUUUAUAAUUAUUAGCUUUGCAAUACUCAAGAUUAAAUCAAUAAAUGACAUGUAAAUCUC